AGAGUUUGAUCCUGGCUCAGGAUGAACGCUGGCGGCGUGCCUAACACAUGCAAGUCGAGCGAUUUACUUCGGUAAAGAGCGGCGGACGGGUGAGUAACGCGUGGGUAACCUGCCCUGUACACACGGAUAACAUACCGAAAGGUAUGCUAAUACGAGAUAAUAUACUUUUAUCGCAUGGUAGAAGUAUCAAAGCUUUUGCGGUACAGGAUGGACCCGCGUCUGAUUAGCUAGUUGGUAAGGUAACGGCUUACCAAGGCGACGAUCAGUAGCCGACCUGAGAGGGUGAUCGGCCACAUUGGAACUGAGACACGGUCCAAACUCCUACGGGAGGCAGCAGUGGGGAAUAUUGCACAAUGGGCGAAAGCCUGAUGCAGCAACGCCGCGUGAGCGAUGAAGGCCUUCGGGUCGUAAAGCUCUGUCCUCAAGGAAGAUAAUGACGGUACUUGAGGAGGAAGCCCCGGCUAACUACGUG
rnacentral:rRNA from 1 species